rnacentral:misc_RNA from 1 species
GAAAUGCGAUAAGUAAUGUGAAUUGCAGAAUUCAGUGAAUCAUCGAAUCUUUGAACGCACCUUGCGCUCCUUGGUAUUCCUUGGAGCAUGCCUGUUUGAGUAUCAUGAAAUCUUCAAAGUAAAUCUUUUGUUAACUCAAUUGGUUUCUACUUUGGUAUUGGAGGUCUUUGCAGCUUCACACCUGCUCCUCUUUGUUCAUUAGCUGGAUCUCAGUGUUAUGCUUGGUUCCACUCGGCGUGAUAAGUUAUCUAUCGCUGAGGACACUGUAAAAGGUGGCCAAGGUAAAUGCAGAUGAACCGCUUCUAAUAGUCCAUUAACUUGGACAAUACUUUUAUGAUCUGAUCUCAAAUCAGGUAGGACUACCCGCUGAACUUAAGC